rnacentral:rRNA from 1 species
UACGAAGGGGGCUAGCGUUGCUCGGAAUGACUGGGCGUAAAGGGCGCGUAGGCGGUUUGUACAGUCAGAUGUGAAAUUCCUGGGCUCAACCUGGGGGCUGCAUUUGAUACGUAUGGACUGGAGUGAGGAAGAGGGUCGUGGAAUUCCCAGUGUAGAGGUGAAAUUCGUAGAUAUUGGGAAGAACACCGGUGGCGAAGGCGGCGACCUGGUCCUUUACUGACGCUGAGGUGCGAAAGCGUGGGGAGCAAACAGG